AGAGUUUGAUCCUGGCUCAGGAUGAACGUUGGCGGCGUGCCUAAUACAUGCAAGUCGAACGGUAAGGCGCCCUUCGGGGUGCUGGAGAGUGGCGGACGGGUGAGUAACACGUAACUGAUCUGCCCUUUAGACUGGGAUAACCUUUGGAAACAGAGGCUAAUACCGGAUGAUAAAUCGGUAGUUAGAGAGCCGGUAGUGAAAGUGAAAGCGCUAAGGGAUGAGGUUGCGGGCCAUCAGCUAGUUGGUGAGGUAAAGGCUCACCGAGGCGAUGACGGCUAGGGGACCUGAGAGGGUGGCCCCCCACACUGGGACUGAGACACGGCCCAGACUCCUACGGGAGGCAGCAGUAAGGGAUAUUGCACAAUGGGCGGAAGCCUGAUGCAGCGACGCCGCGUGGGUGAAGAAGGUUUUCGGAUCGUAAAGCCCUUUUCUAUGUGACGAGGAAGGACGGUAGCAUAGGAAUAAGUGUCGGCUAACUACGUGCCAGCAGCCGCGGUAAAACGUAGGACACGAACGUUAUCCGGAGUUACUGGGCGUAAAGAGCGCGUAGGCGGUUGAUUAAGUUACCUAUGAAAGAUACCGGCUAAACUGGUAUAAGUUGGGUGAAACUGGUCG
rnacentral:rRNA from 1 species